GUUGUAUGGUUAAGUGACUAAGCGUACACGGUGGAUGCCUUGGCAGUCAGAGGCGAUGAAAGACGUAGUAACUUGCGAUAAGCCCAGAUUAGGUAGUAACAACCAUUUGAGUCUGGGAUUUCUGAAUGGGGAAACCCACGUGCAUAAGCACGUAUCCUUACCUGAAUACAUAGGGUAAGGAGGCGAACCGGGGGAACUGAAACAUCUAAGUACCCCGAGGAAAAGAAAUCAACCGAGAUUCCGAAAGUAGCGGCGAGCGAAAUUGGACUAGCCCUUAAGCUUUACACGCGUUAGACGAACGGUCUGGAAAGUCCGACGAUACAGGGUGAUAGUCCCGUAGUUGACGACGUGUGUUCAGUGAAAUCGAGUAGGGCGGGACACGUGAUAUCCUGUCUGAAUAUGGGGGGACCAUCCUCCAAGGCUAAAUACUACUGACUGACCGAUAGUGAACCAGUACCGUGAGGGAAAGGCGAAAAGAACCCCUGUGAGGGGAGUGAAAUAGAACCUGAAACCGUGUACGUACAAGCAGUAGGAGCAGGCUUUGUCCUGUGACUGCGUACCUUUUGUAUAAUGGGUCAGCGACUUAUAUUCAGUGGCAAGGUUAACCAUCUAGGGGAGCCGUAGGGAAACCGAGUCUUAACUGGGCGUUCAGUCUCUGGAUAUAGACCCGAAACCAGGUGAUCUAGCCAUGGGCAGGUUGAAGGUUGAGUAACAUCAACUGGAGGACCGAACCGACUAAUGUUGAAAAAUUAGCGGAUGACUUGUGGCUAGGGGUGAAAGGCCAAUCAAACCUGGAGAUAGCUGGUUCUCCCCGAAAGCUAUUUAGGUAGCGCCUCGGACGAAUACUACUGGGGGUAGAGCACUGUUAAGGCUAGGGGGUCAUCCCGACUUACCAACCCUUUGCAAACUCCGAAUACCAGUAAGUACUAUCCGGGAGACACACGGCGGGUGCUAACGUCCGUCGUGGAGAGGGAAACAACCCAGACCGCCAGCUAAGGUCCCAAAUUACUACUAAGUGGGAAACGAUGUGGGAAGGCUCAGACAGCCAGGAUGUUGGCUUAGAAGCAGCCAUCAUUUAAAGAAAGCGUAAUAGCUCACUGGUCGAGUCGGCCUGCGCGGAAGAUGUAACGGGGCUAAGUAGUAAACCGAAGCUGCGGCAAUAUACUUUUGUAUAUUGGGUAGGGGAGCGUUCUGUAAGCGGUUGAAGGUGUGUGGUAACGCAUGCUGGACGUAUCAGAAGUGCGAAUGCUGACAUGAGUAACGAUAAAGGGGGUGAAAAACCUCCUCGCCGGAAGACCAAGGGUUCCUGUCCAACGUUAAUCGGGGCAGGGUAAGUCGACCCCUAAGGCGAGGCCGAAAGGCGUAGUCGAUGGGAAACGGGUUAAUAUUCCCGUACUUCUUACAAUUGCGAUGGGGGGACGGAGAAGGCUAGGUGGGCCUGGCGACGGUUGUCCAGGUUCAAGUGCGUAGGCUGAGAGAUUAGGUAAAUCCGGUUUCUCUUAAGGCUGAGACACGACGUCGAGCACCUACGGGUGUGAAGUCAUUGAUGCCAUGCUUCCAGGAAAAGCCUCUAAGCUUCAGAUUGUAAGAAAUCGUACCCCAAACCGACACAGGUGGUCGGGUAGAGAAUACCAAGGCGCUUGAGAGAACUCGGGUGAAGGAACUAGGCAAAAUGGUACCGUAACUUCGGGAGAAGGUACGCUCUCGACGGUGAAGUCCCUUGCGGAUGGAGCUAUUGAGAGUCGCAGAUACCAGGUGGCUGCAACUGUUUAUUAAAAACACAGCACUGUGCAAAAUCGUAAGAUGACGUAUACGGUGUGACGCCUGCCCGGUGCCGGAAGGUUAAUUGAUGGGGUUAGACUUCGGUCGAAGCUCUUGAUCGAAGCCCCGGUAAACGGCGGCCGUAACUAUAACGGUCCUAAGGUAGCGAAAUUCCUUGUCGGGUAAGUUCCGACCUGCACGAAUGGCGUAAUGAUGGCCACGCUGUCUCCACCCGAGACUCAGUGAAAUUGAAAUCGCUGUGAAGAUGCAGUGUACCCGCGGCUAGACGGAAAGACCCCGUGAACCUUUACUACAGCUUGGCACUGAACAUUGACCCUACAUGUGUAGGAUAGGUGGGAGGCUUUGAAGCACGUACGCCAGUAUGUGUGGAGCCGUCCUUGAAAUACCACCCUUGUAGUGUUGAUGUUCUAACGUCGACCCCUAAUCGGGGUUGCGGACAGUGCCUGGUGGGUAGUUUGACUGGGGCGGUCUCCUCCCAAAGAGUAACGGAGGAGCACGAAGGUGGGCUAAUCACGGUUGGACAUCGUGAGGUUAGUGCAAUGGCAUAAGCCCGCUUGACUGCGAGAAUGACAAUUCGAGCAGGUGCGAAAGCAGGUCAUAGUGAUCCGGUGGUUCUGAAUGGAAGGGCCAUCGCUCAACGGAUAAAAGGUACUCCGGGGAUAACAGGCUGAUACCGCCCAAGAGUUCAUAUCGACGGCGGUGUUUGGCACCUCGAUGUCGGCUCAUCACAUCCUGGGGCUGAAGUCGGUCCCAAGGGUAUGGCUGUUCGCCAUUUAAAGUGGUACGCGAGCUGGGUUUAGAACGUCGUGAGACAGUUCGGUCCCUAUCUGCCGUGGGCGUUGGAAGAUUGAAGGGGGCUGCUCCUAGUACGAGAGGACCGGAGUGGACGAACCUCUGGUGUUCGGGUUGUGUCGCCAGACGCAUUGCCCGGUAGCUAAGUUCGGAAUCGAUAACCGCUGAAAGCAUCUAAGCGGGAAGCGAGCCCUGAGAUGAGUCUUCCCUGAUACUUUAAGUAUCCUAAAGGGUUGUCGGAGACUACGACGUUGAUAGGUCAGGUGUGUAAGUGCUGUGAGGCAUUGAGCUAACUGAUACUAAUUGCCCGUGAGGCUUAACCAUACAACACCCAAGGGGUUU
rnacentral:rRNA from 1 species